UUCCCAAUUUCUGCAUGACUG
rnacentral:piRNA from 1 species